rnacentral:lncRNA from 1 species
CCUCCAACAGAUGGUGGGCUUCAUUUGUUCAUAAAAUAUGAUGAUAGGAAAUGUAAAAAAUCAGGUAACAGAACCCCUUUCACAGCAAACAGAGGUGUUCUGUGAAAAACAGCAGGACCACAGAGAUCAACCUAAUUUGCCAGUAUAGCUGAUGAUCUCAUCUCAGUGUGUGAUGUAGUUAAAGCAGGGAGGUCUUAUUAACUCUUGCUUUGGAUGGAGGAGUAUCAACAAUAAGGAUACAUGGACUGAUAGUUUUACUCUGUGUCUGUCAUAUGUAACAGAGCUCAGACAUGCUCUUCAGAUUGCUGGUUGCAUCCUUUGUUAACCUUAUUUUCUGUUUCUUACCAAGUGGAUGAGGCCUGUCAGAAGCCAGCAAGAAACAUCUGAUUAGAACAAGUAGAAAAAAGAAACAACAAAAGCAAAGUAAACACCGGGGCAGAGAGAACCAAGCUAAGCUUUCUAUCUGGUAAAAAAGGUAGAAUUAAGGCUGUUGGAGCAAUCAGAAUUUGUCAGUUCCUUGCUUUCAGACACUUGGCUGUGCUAGUUCAGUGGAAGUGGUUUUGGAGGUGGGUUCCUUGCAUUAAUUUAGAAGUACAAUCUUGCUGUUUCUGUUCCGUUGAUUGGUUAUCGUGAUUGCUUUAUCAUUCUCACCAAAGGGACUAAUACCUGGAAUAGCUGGGACUGCAGCACAGAUUUCAUAUUUUGUUUUUAGAAACACCAGUGUUCAUUAUCAGCAGAAAUACAGUUGAUUCCCAGAAGCACAGAGACUAGUUUUUCUAUAGUGUGUCAAUAGACCUAAGAUGCAAAACCAAAGCCAACUCUCUCUGUAAGAAGUUGCCAGAUAUCCAUAAAAGAAUACUGCCCUGAAAACUCAAGUUUUGUGCUGCUUGAAGGAGCAUAAGCAUCUGUGUUCAGAGGUACUCUGAGAGAUUCCAGGAUUCUCUGACAAUCACAAGGAAAAGAGAAAUGGAUUUUUUAAGGCUAUUUCCAUAUCAGUUGAACCUAUGUGGUAUUCCCUAAAAGUACAGAAGGUUUUCCCAUGUCAGAAAUUCCAGCAGGUGAUCACUGAUGAAUCCUAUAGUGUCUACAACAACACCAGCAAUGUUGUGCUCUAAUAUAUUCUCAUUGAGGUCAGCAGGCUUGAUUUGGAGCUGGCAGUUAUUCCACUGAGACCAGCAGACUUACUUAUGUGUAAGCAAAGGGAGAAGAAUUUUGCCCUGUGGAGCUGAGGCACAGCAAAGAAUACUGCUGCCUUCUGCUCUCUCCUGCAGUAGAAUAACAUCACACUGAAACAAAACCCAAACACUGGGAUAUGGCAACAGAGAAAUACAGAACAAAGGUUAUGCCUACAGUGCCAGCCACUCAGUCUGUCAGGAACUGCUUAAGUAGUAAACUGUCAGCUUAGUGCCAUAUGCACUGAGAUCUAUAUAAAAUAAUGUCUUCUUAGAAAGACAUCAAACACGAACCCAUUUUGUACAGCUGUAUUUUUCACUGAUGCUUCCGGAACUCUGCAACUGUUUUUUCUUAGUUUUGCUUUAGAUUGUAAAGACUAAUGUCUCACAUCAGUUGCUUCUUAGAGGGCCAUUCAGUUUGAACCGGACACUUGAGGCAUCAGAUUGCAUCCCAUAGGAGU